rnacentral:rRNA from 1 species
AGUGAACGCUGGCGGUAGGCCUAACACAUGCAAGUCGAACGGCAGCACAGGAGAGCUUGCUCUCUGGGUGGCGAGUGGCGGACGGGUGAGGAAUACAUCGGAAUCUACUUGUUCGUGGGGGAUAACGUAGGGAAACUUACGCUAAUACCGCAUACGACCUACGGGUGAAAGCAGGGGACCUUCGGGCCUUGCGCGAUUGAAUGAGCCGAUGUCGGAUUAGCUAGGUGGCGGGGUAAAGGCCCACCAAGGCGACGAUCCGUAGCUGGUCUGAGAGGAUGAUCAGCCACACUGGAACUGAGACACGGUCCAGACUCCUACGGGAGGCAGCAGUGGGGAAUAUUGGACAAUGGGCGCAAGCCUGAUCCAGCCAUACCGCGUGGGUGAAGAAGGCCUUCGGGUUGUAAAGCCCUUUUGUUGGGAAAGAAAUCCAGCUGGCUAAUACCCGGUUGGGAUGACGGUACCCAAAGAAUAAGCACCGGCUAACUUCGUGCCAGCAGCCGCCGUAA